GACGAACGCUGGCGGCGUGCUUAACACAUGCAAGUCGAACGAUGAAGCUGGAGCUUGCUCCGGUGGAUUAGUGGCGAACGGGUGAGUAACACGUGAGCAAUCUGCCCUUGACUCUGGGAUAACAGCGGGAAACUGUAGCUAAUACCGGAUACUUUCACUGGAAGGCAUCUUCUGGUGAAGAAAGAAUUUCGGUCAAGGAUGAGCUCGCGGCCUAUCAGCUUGUUGGUGAGGUAACGGCUCACCAAGGCGACGACGGGUAGCCGGCCUGAGAGGGUGACCGGCCACACUGGGACUGAGACACGGCCCAGACUCCUACGGGAGGCAGCAGUGGGGAAUAUUGCACAAUGGGCGCCAGCCUGAUGCAGCAACGCCGCGUGAGGGAUGAAGGCCUUCGGGUUGUAAACCUCUUUUAGCAGGGAAGAAGCGAAAGUGACGGUACCUGCAGAAAAAGCACCGGCUAACUACGUGCCAGCAGCCGCCGUAA
rnacentral:rRNA from 1 species